UGGGGAAUAUUGCACAAUGGGGGAAACCCUGAUGCAGCGACGCCGCGUGAACGAAGAAGGUAUUCGUAUCGUAAAGUUCUGUCCUAUGGGAAGAUAAUGACAGUACCAUAGAAGAAAGCUCCGGCUAUAUACGUGCCAGCAGCCGCUGUAAUACGUAUGGAGCGAGCGUUGUUCGGAUUUAUUGGGUGUAAAGGGUACGCAGGCGGUUUAAUAAGUCGAAUGUUAAAGAUCGGGGCUCAACCCCGUAAAGCAUUGGAAACUGAUAAACUUGAGUAGUGGAGAGGAAAGUGGAAUUCCUAGUGUAGUAGUGAAAUACGUAGAUAUUAGGAGGAAUACCAGUAGCGAAGGCGACUUCCUGGACACAAACUGACGCUGAGGUACGAAAGCGUGGGGAGCAAACAGG
rnacentral:rRNA from 1 species